CAAGGCUAAAUACUCCUGACUGACCGAUAGUGAACCAGUACCGUGAGGGAAAGGCGAAAAGAACCCCGGCGAGGGGAGUGAAACAGAACCUGAAACCGUGUACGUACAAGCAGUGGGAGCCUCUUUAUGGGGUGACUGCGUACCUUUUGUAUAAUGGGUCAGCGACUUAUAUUCUGUAGCAAGGUUAACCGUAUAGGGGAGCCGCAGGGAAACCGAGUCUUAACUGGGCGUUAAGUUGCAGGGUAUAGACCCG
rnacentral:rRNA from 1 species